UACAGAGGGUGCAAGCGUUAUUCGGACUUACUGGGCGUAAAGCGCACGUAGGUGGUUACGUAAGUUAGUUGUGAAAUCCCUGGGCUUAACCUGGGAACUGCAAUUAAGACUGCGAGACUAGAGUCGAAGAGAGGGAAGCGGAAUUUCCGGUGUAGCGGUGAAAUGCGUAGAUAUCGGAAGGAACACCAGUGGCGAAGGCGGCUUCCUGGCUUCAGACUGACACUGAGGAGCGAAAGCGUGGGUAGCGAACAGG
rnacentral:rRNA from 1 species